UCGCGAGAGCUAGCAAUCCCAUAAACCGUGGCUCAGUUCAGAUCGUAGGCUGCAACUCGCCUACGUGAAGGAGGAAUCGCUAGUAAUCGCAGGUCAGCAUACUGCGGUGAAUACGUUCCCGGGCCUUGUACACACCGCCCGUCACACCAUGGAAGUUGGCCACGCCCGAAGCCGUUACUCCAACCCUUGUGGAGGAGGACGUCGAAGGUGGGGCUGAUGACUGGGGUGAAGUCGUAACAAGGUAGCCGUACCGGAAGGUGCGGCUGGAUCACCUCCUAA
rnacentral:rRNA from 1 species